GAUGAACGCUGGCGGCGUGCCUAACACAUGCAAGUCGAACGGGAUGCGUAUCGGAAAGCUUCGGCCGGAAGAUGCGUUAUCUAGUGGCGGACGGGUGAGUAACACGUGGGUAACCUGCCUUAUGGAGGGGGAUAACAGAGAGAAAUCACUGCUAAUACCGCAUAAGCACACAGUACCGCAUGGUACAGGGUGAAAAGAUUUAUCACCAUAAGAUGGACCCGCGUCUGAUUAGCCAGUUGGCAGGGUAAAAGCCUACCAAAGCAACGAUCAGUAGCCGAUCUGAGAGGAUGACCGGCCACAUUGGGACUGAGACACGGCCCAAACUCCUACGGGAGGCAGCAGUGGGGAAUAUUGCACAAUGGGGGAAACCCUGAUGCAGCGACGCCGCGUGAGUGAAGAAGUAUUUCGGUAUGUAAAGCUCUAUCAGCAGGGAAGAUAAUGACAGUACCUGACUAAGAGCCCCGUAUUU
rnacentral:rRNA from 1 species